CUCAUUAUGGCCCACUCAACUCCCAAAAGUCACGCCCAUGUGUAUCCAAUAAGCAUUAAGGACCUCAAGCGGGCAUCCCAGGAGCAAGUGAGGGAGCCCUCAUGGAAUUUGUGCCCUCCUAAGAAGAGGAAGCGAGAGAUUUCUCUCUCGCUCUGUGGACACAGCAAGAAAGCGCUGUCUGCAAGCUAGGAAGCGUGGUCUCACCAGAAGCCAGCCCUCAUGGCAUCCUGAUUUUGGACUUCCAACCUCCAGAACUGGAUGUGCAGAGGCAGAAUCUGUUCUUUGUCCACACACCGUCGGAGCAAUGCCCAACACAAAGCUGGCCAUCAAUCCUUUCUCGUUGAAGAGGCAAAUGAGGUGAACAAGCAAAUGAGCAGGAACCUGUAGCAACAUCAGCAUUUAAUUCAAGGGAGUCAUUGCAGAUACUCGGAUCACCAGAGACAAGAGGCCAACAUUUCCUGAAACAAGAGCCACACGAAGACGAAGCGGGUACGGCACAGGCUGCGUGGGGUCGCCACCACUUCCAAGCACCCCCACCCUUCUGGAAGGCCAAUGUGUUCUACUCCAGGAAACAGACCAUGUUGUAGUGGCCCCAAAGGACCACCCAAGUCAGACUGUGGCUGAGCAAAGUUGGCCUGGGAAAUCCUGGAUUGGAGAGUUCAUUGGAGAACCAAUGUUCUCGUUCUUUGAGGACACCAAUGGGGAGAGGAGCACCUUGUACAAACGAAGGCACCAAUGGGGAGAGGAGCACCUUGUACAAACGAAGGCAGCUGGAGGGAUUUCUUCUUACCUAUAGAGGCCGAGAGGUAAGAGAUAUGCAUCUUUUGCACAAAGAUAUACGGUUGUCAGGUCAUUUACUAUCUGCCUCACUCACACUUGUGACUCUCCGGGGCAGAGAUGGAGUCUUAUGUAAACACAUAAAAACAUAGCAGGUGUUCCGCAAACAUUUAUGAAUCAGAGAAUGGUGGACAGCAAGGAAAAGGGAAACAGAGGAAAUUGA